rnacentral:rRNA from 1 species
AACGAACGCUGGCGGCAGGCCUAACACAUGCAAGUCGAGCGCCCCGCGAGGGGAGCGGCAGACGGGUGAGUAACGCGUGGGAAUCUACCUAGUGGUACGGAAUAGCCCCGGGAAACUUGGAGUAAUACCGUAUACGCCCGAAAGGGGAAAGAUUUAUCGCCAUUAGAUGAGCCCGCGUUGGAUUAGCUAGUUGGUGGGGUAACGGCCCACCAAGGCGACGAUCCAUAGCUGGUCUGAGAGGAUGAUCAGCCACACUGGGACUGAGACACGGCCCAGACUCCUACGGGAGGCAGCAGUGGGGAAUAUUGGACAAUGGGCGCAAGCCUGAUCCAGCCAUGCCGCGUGAGUGACGAAGGUCUUCGGAUUGUAAAGCUCUUUUGGCGGGGACGAUAAUGACGGUACCCGCAGAAUAAGCCCCGGCUAACUUCGUGCCAGCCGCCGCCGUAGUAA